AUGGCCGCAGGUGGUGCUUCUCUUCUUGCUGCUGCUGUUGUUAUUGUUUUCUCCAUGCUGAUCACGUCCUCCCUGGGGGGCCCGAGGCCUUUAUGCAGCUACUGCGAGACUCAAUGCCGUACCAGCUGUGAGGCAGAGGCUAAAACACGCUGCAGUGGUUACUGCAGCCGUGGUGGCGGAGCUCGAGGGGGCUGCACGAAAUACGUCCUUGAUGAGUGCAACGUAAAGGGUACCUGCUGCAGUAGCAACGGCACAUGCACUUGCGACUGCAACGCUGUGGCUGAAAGGGGUUGCAUGCACUUCAGCGACGGCACCCUACAAUGUGGACCUUGCACGCGCAGCAUAUUCGACCAGGGCUAUCCCACCUGCAAAAAGGACUGCAACAACAACUGCAAGAAGAAAGGGUGCCGCCAUGCCUAG
rnacentral:rRNA from 1 species